AUGAGCUCUGCAACAGCAACAGGCUGAAGUUUAAAAUCAAGAAUCUCAAAAUGAAACUAACUGUUUUAAAUUAAGAAUCCCUUCCUCACUUGGGCCCCACCAGCCAGCAAGCUGAACAACGUUAAAGGUUAUGGAGAAUUAGAAGAAAACAAAGUAAACUGCUUUAGACUAUGUUCGGGAGUAGGAGACAAAUUAUUUACUGGAGACUUACUUAAUCAUGUGAAAAAUUCCACUGCAUGUGGUGCGUUGGCCUUGGCUGCCUGCUGGAUACCCACGGAGCUGCUUUCUCACUCUGUAACAUCAACAGGAUGGGGAGAAAUCAUGGGUCAAGAUAAAGAC